GUUACGGAAAAAUCUAAAAUCCCUAAUCAUUGUACAUCCUUCUUGGUUUAUCAGAACACUUCUGGCUGUUACAAGACCAUUUAUUAGCUCGAAAUUCAGCCAAAAAAUUAGAUACGUGUUUAAUUUGGCAGAACUAGCAGAACUUGUCCCCAUGGAAUACGUUGGCAUACCAGAAUGCAUAAAACAGUAUGUUUUGUUUUAUUUCCUUAAUUGUAUUGGAUCUUAACAUUUUGAUGUGCAAUGGAUAAUACUUUUCAAUACUCAUUCUUUAUGUAUUAUAUUUUAUAACUGCGCGCGCGCGCACGCGUGUGUGUGUGUGUGUAAC
rnacentral:sRNA from 1 species